AUUGAACGCUGGCGGCAGGCUUAACACAUGCAAGUCGAACGAGUGGCGGACGGGUGAGUAAUGCAUGGGAAUCUGGCUGAUGGAGGGGGAUAACUACGGGAAACUGUAGCUAAUACCGCAUACCAUAGGAUGAGCCCAAGUGGGAUUAGGUAGUUGGUGAGGUAAAGGCUCACCAAGGCGACGAUCUCUAGCUGGUCUGAGAGGAUGACCAGCCACACUGGGACUGAGAAACGGCCCAGACUCCUACGGGAGGCAGCAGUGGGGAAUAUUGCGCAAUGGGGGCAACCUGAUGCAGCCAUGCCGCGUGUAUGAAGAAGGCCUUCGGGUUGUAAAGUUCUUUCGGUAGGGAGGCGUUACCUACAGAAGAAGCACCGGCUAACUCCGUGCCAGCAGCCGCGGUAAUUC
rnacentral:rRNA from 1 species